rnacentral:lncRNA from 1 species
AGGGUAGGAGGCAGAGUUCAUCACCUGCACCAAGUGGCAUCAGUACUUCUGCCCCCUCCCCCAACUCCCGGCUGCACCCCCGCUGGCUCCCUGUCAAGCAGGUGCACUCCGGCAGCCUGCAGGUCCUGUGUGACCUGUAGACAAGCUCUGUUGGCCCACUGGUUUUUAAAAAUGCUUUUUGGUUUGGUUACCCACAUUUCAACACUGGACUUCAUACCAAAAAAAAAAAAUGUGAGAACUUGGUGGCGGGGAGGGGGGUUGGGGGGUUGGAAGACCUGGCCCAUACUGCGCUUGCAUUCCCACUGAGUAUCAGCCUGCCAGAGCUGAGGGGGCCUCCUGCUCUAGACCCAGGCCUUCUCUUCUGUUGGCCCAGGCCCCUCCACACCUUGUCCUUCCAACGUCUCCUCACCUCUGAGUCGAUGGUCACAAGGCAGCUCCCUGCCUGCCAGCGAUGCCAGGAAAAGGAGUUCCUGGCUUCUGCCUGAGGGAGGCGGACUCAGGAGGAGAGAAACCCCUCAGCCGUAGGAAAAGUGCACCGCUACAAGGCAGGUGUCCAUCCCUACCCGAGGAAGGAGACGCUUGCAGAAGAGUGACAUGUCCUCUAAGCCCGCCCUGGGGCUGCAGCCUUUUCCUCUUCCCCUCCAAAAGUGCAGAGCCUCCAGGUUGCUUGCAUCCUCGUACUUAUCUCUUCUAACUAGAACUAACUCUCAUAGCACCUUUGAACCUGUUGAAAAAUGCAGUAGUGGAGUUCCUGUCGUGGCUCAGUGAUCAGCGAACCCGUCUAGCAUCCGUGAGGACUCGGGUUCCAUCCCUGGCCUCGCUCAGUGGGUUAAGGAUCUGGUGUGGCCAUGAGCUGUGGUGUAGGUUGAAGACUCGGCUCAGAUCCCACGCUAGGGGUCGAAUCAGAGCUGUAGCCACCAGCCUACACCAGAGCCACAGCAACACGGGAUCUGAGCCGCGUCUGCAACCUACACUACAGCUCACAGCAACACUGGAUCCUUAACCCACUGAGCAAGGCCAGGGAUCGAACCCGCAACCUCAUGGUUCCUAGUUGGAUUCGCUAACCACUGAGCCACAACGGGAACUCUGGAACUUAGUUUUGUCUUGUCUUUGGUUUAGAGCUGGGCUGUUUUUAUGGGCUCAGGAAAGCGGGGUCUCUGGUAGUAAUGCUAAUGUUUAUUGUCUCGCACAUAGUGGAGACCGUAAAUGUCUCGGAGCUCAGUCACUGCAGACUGUGUCCUUAACCUUGACCAAGCUGUCAUGCAAACUUACUGAGCUUUUGCUGCGUAGAAUUACCCAGUCUCUACUUCUGAAGAGUUGAGAAUCAGAAUCCAGAGAUGACUGGGCUCAGUCAUGGAAGCGCUGAAAGUGUAAUUGAUUACUCCAGGCCAGAAUUUUUCCCUUGCAUUGCUUCUUCAUUAUGUAUUUCUUGCAUAUGGAACCCUUGAAGUCUCAUCUUUAAAGAGUCCUCCUGUCCCCUGGAUUAGUCACCUUUCAUCUUCCUAAGCUUACUUCUCUGAGCAUUGGGUGCUAGAUAGGUUUUGCUAUUGUUUUGAGUUCUCUCCUGAACAGACAAGUGGAGGGAUGGAAGGAUCUUGGGGCCAGUGAGCAAUUAGUGGGUGAGUCUCUAAGACAUAGGGUCUGUGCCAAGAUCAGAACUAGGCACAUAGUAGGUGCUCGGUACCUAGCGUGACUUCUCAAACUAGUGAGUUUAGUGAAGAUCCUGUAAUUCAUGAAGCAAACCUUCUGUGAACCAACCACCACUAGGUUGUAUCUUCCACCUGCCUAAGCCUUGAAAGCCAGAAACAUUCUGUGUGUGUCCUGUCCGAACACCAUCACCGAGUCACAUCUCACUAAGAAUAUUUUAUAAAGCAAAUACAGCAACACAUUUAGGCUUAGCACAAGGUAACACUGGGGUGUUAUUUUUAAAGCCAAAAAAUGUCCUUUGGUACAACUUUCCUGAUUCCAAUUUGUUCUUGUUUCUAAGAGAAUGGACUGCGUACCUUUGCUUUACAUAAAGACAUUUAAAAUCCCAGGGAAUGCAACACAGUGUGCCCUUCUUGCACGUGUAACGAUAGAUUUCCAUCGGGAUAAGGUCUGGUCACAACGGAGGAGUACAAAUGUGUUUUCAAGCUGGUGAAAGCAGGAGUCCACCUUACCACAGAGGCUGUUGAAAACACAAAGGUGAAAAGCAUGUCUGUUCCUGCGUCACCUGUCAUCUGUCAUCCGUUCAGCACUCAGUGUGCACGGCUGUGGUUUCACCAGGGAUCAUGUAAUGAAGCAGUGUGGUGCGUUCAGAAACAAAAACAAACGCAUGUGGGCUUUGGAGUCCUGCACGCUGGAAAUGGAAUCCCUGCCGUGUGGUUUAUUAGCUCCAUGGUGUCAAGCAAAUUACCUAGUAACUCUGAGUCUCAGUUUCCUCAUUUGUAAAUGGGAACAAUAACUGCCACUUCCUAGGGCACUGCCCUGGGGAGCUCCAGGGAGGGAGGGCUUUUCAUCCCCUUCUCUCGGUGUGUGGACAUCUGAGCGGUGCCUGCAUGUUGUAGGCAUUCACCGUGUCCGUGUAUGUUGUUGUGAGAAUCUAAUAAGAGAACAAGAGGAGCUCUUCUUUAC